AGUGAACGCUGGCGGUAGGCCUAACACAUGCAAGUCGAACGGCAGCACAGUAAGAGCUUGCUCUUACGGGUUGCGAGUGGCGGACGGGUGAGGAAUACAUCGGAAUCUACUUUUUCGUGGGGGAUAACGUAGGGAAACUUACGCUAAUACCGCAUACGACCUACGGUUGAAAGCAGGUGAUCUUCGGACCUUGCGCGAUUGAAUGAGCCGAUGUCGGAUUAGCUAGUUGGCGGGGUAAAGGCCCACCAAGGCGACGAUCCGUAGCUGGUCUGAGAGGAUGAUCAGCCACACUGGAACUGAGCAACGGUCCAGACUCCUACGGGAGGCAGCAGUGGGGAAUAUUGGACAAAGGGCGCAAGCCUGAUCCAGCCAGACCGCGUGGGUGAAGAAGGCCUUCGGGUUGUAAAGCCCUUUUGUUGGGAAAGAAAAGCAGCAGGUUAAUACCCCGCUGUUCUGACGGUACCCAAAGAAUAAGCACCGGCUAACUUCGUG
rnacentral:rRNA from 1 species